GUUACUGACGUCGCACGGCUCAGCUACUUCUUCUCCGCCGAUCACUUCGUCAGCCGCUCUUCCUAUCUUGUUCUCCCCGGACACCGCCAGCCACUCCAGCCUCUCCUUGCAGAAAUGUCUCUCUUGAGAGUCCAGCAGAAGUCAGCCAGCAAAUUUGGGGCUCAACUUGACUUGAAAUACUGACCUCUUCAUCCCAAAGGAUAGAAUCCCGACACGGGUUGGGUUAAUCGGCUUCUGAUACUAACGGGACGUUCCAUAGUGGCAGGAGGCUGUCCUGCCAUGUUCUUCAAAAUGAUAUGAGGAAGUCAAGAAGAAGCAAGUGGUCAUUGCU